rnacentral:misc_RNA from 1 species
AAAUACAGCAGUUAUGUGGCACCAACUUUGACAGAAGUUGUAUUCAAACUUAUUGACAAUAUCAGAGAACAUAGAUUAACAGCAUACAUAGUGUACUCGUUGAUAUUAAAUUAUUUCACACAUUGUUCUCCAUGUCUGAUGUCAUCUCAUUAUCUGAGAGUGAAAGACAAACUAUGGAAUUUUUCAAAUUACUUGUGAACAACACUGAAAUUGAUUUCCCUCUUUUCUGUUACCAUCUCUAAAUAAGGUUCAAGACAUUAGUUCAAAAUUUAAACAAGCAAAAUGAAAAUUGAUGCAUCAAAAUAAAAGGCUUAAUGACACAAAAUUCCUAAA